UGAAGACACCUGGUGUUCUCAUGUCCCAGGUUGCUGGAUGCUGCUUCCUGAUCCUUUGCCCCACAGGAGAUUUCUGUGCGCUUUUCCCAAAAGGACUCAGCUGAGAACUCUACAACAGGUUCAAGUGCUCCCCACCCCCAGCCCCCAGGCAGCGCCAGUCAUCUACGCGUUCUACAGGGAUAAGAUGGGGAUCUUCCUAGAAGCUGGAACCCAUUACCAUUUCUGAUUCCUUAGCGUUCUUUGCAGUGAGCACUUCCUGAAACGAUUUCCCUGAUGUCACCCUCUCCACUGGGUUUCCAUGAUGAAAACUGGAGGUGGGGUCUGAGAAGCCAGUGUGCAGCUUAAUGUCCAGUACCUGCUCAAAGUACUCUUCACCACUCUCAGGCUUUCUGGGCCUCCCUGUCUCAUCUCUCAGCUAAGUCCUUUCUGUGCUCAUCUUGUCUUUGGCAAAGGCUGGGAAGUCUGGUUCUGAUUACAAGGGGUUGGAGCACCGAAUUCCAGUCUGGUGGCAGGAAUAGGCUGUCAAGCAGGGCAUGUUGACAAUGUUUUCUUACCUUGACUAUGCAGAGGGAGGCCCAUCUUGGUACCAAAAGCGGAACCUCCUCUUCCAUGGUCUGGGAUGAACGCAUGCCUGUAGCUGGGUGCACUCAGGUCCUUGGGGUGAGGUAACAGUUAAUAGGGUUUUAAGGGUAUGGGGCUAUCCUGGUGGAAGACCACUGGGUCAGAUAUGAGGAGGGUUUGGGCGCUGGGAACCAGGAAGAGCGGGGGAAGGGGCAGAACCGACUCCAGAGGCGGAUCUCUUGGCUGAGGACAGAGGGUGUAUUGUCCAACUAUGAGGUUGCUGCAGCUGGGCGGGGAGCAGUAGUCUCUUCCAGACUUCUUUUUGGGGAGGCAGGAGGGUGAGAGAAGGCAAGCCCCCCUCCCCCUUCACUUGUGGCCCUAGAGGCUACAAUGGUUGCUGAGAAACUGAGACUUAUUUUGAUAAAUACUGCUUCCCUGGAGCAGAUGUGUAGUGCUCACUUACCAAGAAACCAGAUGUUUUGAGCUUGUAGCACUCCAGGUGGACAAACUGGGACUGUCAUUGCCUUGGGAUCCAGAGCACAGUGUUCGAUUCUGUUAAAAGAAACCAGGCUCUGCCCUAGAGUACAAAAGGCAGCCAGCCCCAUGUCCACCCUUCUGAGGAUAUCCCUUUUGCACUGUCCCCACCUUUGCUAGCUCAGGAUUUACAGGAGGUUGGCAGAGGGCUGACUUGGGGAGGAUCCACGUGGUUAUGUUUGUGGAUGCGACCAUGCCAGAGCCAACUUUAAGUUGCCUCUUGGGAACAGUCCAGGGAGUUCCUACCAUGUGUACCACCAACAUGAGUCUCUUGAUAAGUCUUCCCUACCUUAACCAAGCUUUCCAUUUUUCACCCAGACCUCUUCACAUCUAGAGUGGCUGAAAAGGAACACUGCGAUCUGAGACAGACUCCUGGGGUAGAACUGCAAUAAGCUUUGCCAUAGAGAUUGCACAGGUGCCCAGUUAGCAGUUGCACCAUUGUCUCCCCUGCCUAACUCCACACUUCAGUAGCUUUCGUAUCACAGCCUGUAAUUCCUUAACUCUGCCAGUUUUGGAGAACACCAGUCACUGGACUUGCUAGGAACUAAGAAAGCAGCUGUUUGGACUGGCCAGCAAAGCUACCUGUGUUCCCAGUUCUCCUCACAUCCACUCCUUCCACUUGGCUUCAUCCCCAGACUGGGCUCCUUUCUGUGCUCCACCCAUUUGUGACCUCAGAUUCUCUAUCACUGUCCUAACCCCUUUCCUGCCUUGCAACAAUGACCAGCCUGUCCUUAGUUGUUCGGAAAAUUCCCAUUAAAUCUCAGGUAUGGACUCAGGAGCAGCCUGUCAUCCUGAACUGCAGCCACCAGAGUGAAGCAGCUUGGCCUGGUAGACUGUCAAGUGAGGGUGGGGCCUUGAGGAAGAACUGCCUAAGGAUCACAUCUUAUGACCAGUCCUGUAGCACAGGGCUAUGGGAGUACGUGGCAAUAGAACACAAGGAAAAAUCCAGCAGAGGGAGCCGAGAUGCAAAUUCCCAGUUCUGGGGCCUCAUAAACAUUGAAAUGGAUUUCCUUUGUAACCCCACCCUCUGCCUUUGCACAAAAUGGCAUCCAGUGCUGAAUAACCUGAGAUAGUGGGGGACAGGGAGCAGGUUGACACUGGGAAAUUAAUUUAAAAGCACUAAGUGAGUAUGUCAAAUGAAUUUCAUUCAGCAUUAAAAUGAACUUUAAAGAUCAGAUUUAUUUGGAGAAAACAAAAAACCCACAACCCAAAGGAUGGGAUUUUACAUCUCAACACAUCUUCCAGGUAGUAAGUCUACAGAUUACAAAUCAUUUUCAUAGAAGAUAUUUUUGUACAAAUUUUACAUGUAUUCAGGGUGGGACAAAAGUCAACCCCUGUUUCUAUUUUAACAGGGGCUAGGUAGGGUAGGGGAGUGGGACAAAACAGCACUUUUUUGGGAUAUAACUAUCUGGGAGUAGACAUGAAAAAGGCAAACUCUACCUUUCCAUUAUCUGCAACCAAUCGUUUAAAAAACCUGUUUGAUCUUGGUUCUCUCUAAAAGCCCACUUUAGUUACUAGCUGACCCUGUCAAUUACUUCAGGUUAAUUCCCUGGACAUGCCUUUUGCCCUCUGGGUAAAUGGUUCCUUAUGCCCACUGCUGCAGCACACAGACCAAUACUCUGCAGGCUGGCCAGGCUUUAGACUAAGAUUGAAGGCAGAAGGGCUUGCAAACAAGAGACCAAGGUGUCAUCUGUCUGCAUGUACCAACACUGCCCAUGAGGGGGAAGAAUCCACCUACCUAGUUGACCCCUACAAAGGUGCACAUAAAAGCAGACAAAUUAAGCUACUGUUACAAGAGAAACCAGGACCUUGUUAAAUAGUUCUUUCCAUUAUCAUUUAUUCUCUCAUAGGAAGAUAAAAAACAAACUCCGAAAAGCAAAAUAACCACACAUUGGUCUAGGCCACAUUAUAAAUCCAAGCACUGGUGUGGAAUUUCAGUGGAGAGAAGAAAACUUGUAAAAACCCCCCAAGUCUUAAGAAAGUCUUCCAAUUUAACUGUCUCUGUUUACCCAUCCUUAUUCACCACCCAAGACCAUCAAUUCUAGACUAGUCUGAUCUGUAAGAGGGGUCAAAGCAGCAGGAGCAGGCAUGGAUGGAGGGAAGGAAUGAGAAUCAAAAGACAUCAAGGAGCUGAUUUGUUUGAGAAAAGCAGUGAUUCCUCAGGUCACAGCUUCCAGUGGCUGAGAUGUAAAAUGCCUAAGAGAGCAGAUCCGUGAAUUAAAUGGAUUGCUUUUUAGGAGGUGAAAGUAGUAUGAAGAACAUGAAAUGACAAGAGUCUGAAUUUUUUUUUUAAAGCUUCAAGGUUUCAACAGAAUGUGGAUGUAU